ensembl:misc_RNA Metazoa_SRP Metazoan signal recognition particle RNA
GCCGGGCACAGUGGCACAUGCCUGUAGUUACAGCUACUCGGGAGGCUGAGGCUGGAGGAUCGCAGGAGUUCUGGGCUAUAGUGCGCUAUGCUGGUUGGGUGUCUGCACAAAUUUCGGCAUGAAUAUGGUGACCUCCUGGAAGCAAGGGACCACCAGGUUGCCUAAGGAGGGGUGAACCAGCCCAGGUCAGAAAUGGAGCAGGUCAAAACUCCCGUGCUGAUCAGUAGUGGGAUCGUACCUGUGAAUAGCCACUGUACUCCAGCCUGGGCAACAUAGUGAGACCCCUUCUCUU